UAUAUUCCGGUUUUCCGAGCUAGUGAGUCUAAAGGUUUUCCACGACCAACUAGCCUAUGGGUCAUGGGAGAAAUCCCGCGGCCUCCCGCAUUUGGAAAGGAAAAUCUUGACCUGAUUU
rnacentral:ncRNA from 2 species